rnacentral:lncRNA from 10 species
UGCAAAACAGAGGAGCCCCUGGGUGGGAGGGGAUAUAACUGGAACUCUGGGAAUGUAACGGGCAUGGUGUGCUUGUCUGAUGGACAGGGCAGCUUAGGGGAAUAAGUCUCUGCAGCGUUGUAGUGAAGAGAGAAUACGGGACAACUGCAGGACCACAGCUCAGCCAAGACACAACCACAUGACUGAAGACAGAGAUCAUCUGGGUCAGUGUUUCAGAAAAUGUUGCCAAGAAACUUCAAAUGCAGAUUCCUGGACCUCCGUGCAAACUACUAUAUUAGAAGCUCCCUUGCAGCUGAGUUGGCCAUAUGACUGACAGCAAGCCCUGGAAUGCAGCCAGAAGUGAUAGAAGCCUCUUUCACACCAUGCUCCUAAAAUAUUCCAAGAAAUUUUCCAAACCUACUCUUUUUAGUCUGUGCAUCUGGAAGUGAAAGUUUUAGAAAGGGUAAAGUCACUUAAUGGAAAGGGCCCAGAUCUAGCCCCUCGGAGCCAAGCUGUCCAACUAGAAAUUCUGCAUUAGUAUUUGCGACCCCAGUAAAAAAAAAAAAGUCCCACAAAGAUGUAGGAUCUCACUUUGCCUGCGUUAAUUCCCUGUCCUUUGCCCAGUUUCUCCUCUCUUGGAAGGCAGAGGCAGCUUCUGAUUUUGAUCACUUCAUGUCCAGUAGGACCUCCUGCUUCAGACUCUAAGCUUCCGGAGAACAGGAACUGCAUCUUUUCUAUUUCACAUACCCAACUCCUCACACAAUGCAUGAUGCAAGUGGGAAUCUACAUAAAAUAUCUGAUGGAUAAAUGGAGUAGCACUGAUGCAUAUGAGACCCAGUGUUAACCAGAGGAAGCAAUCAACUCCAAGAUCAACUGCCAAGAUAAAAACCAGGACCAAGGAAAGCUUCUGAGAUAAAAUGAUUUUUAAGAUUAACGUAGUGGAUAUUUCCAAUUGUUUUUUUUAUACCCUUCAUCUGACCUCUCCUUCCUAAAUGUGAGAGUUAGCCAUCAGUUGAGUAUUGUGAGAGGUUGUACCCUGCCACUAAUUACAGAAACAAAAAAGGCCAGCUACCUGCUUUCCCGGACUCUAGGAGGUAAAGUUAAAAGAACAUGAACUAACCUCUGUCAAUAAGAUACAACCACCAGGGAAUUGCAUCUGGAGUUAAUGAUCGAAUCCAUUCUAGGAAUGGCAAGAGCAUCUAGCGUCCAAUGGCAGAGGGCCAGCCAUGGUGUGCUGUCUUGGAGGCAUGACGUGGUGGUGGUACCAGGGCCAGAAUUUAUUCUCUAGAAGCAUCUCUCAAGAUGAAUGGCUGUACAGAAACAUGUUUAACCUCUCUUCAUUGUCUCCAUGACAACAUACUCGACUGUUUCUUCCUUGUCUCCUUUGAGCGCAUACCAGUGUGUUGUCCUCCUCUCUCUCUGACCAUUUAUCUGUCACUCCUGAAGGCUCUUUCUGAUCUCCCUGGCCUUUAAGUGUUAGAUCUUCAAGGUUCAUCAUUAGGCUCUCUUCUUUCCUCAUUCUAUAAUCAUCCACUGUCAAUCUCUUCCACCCCUCUCUGCUUUAGUUCCAGCCAUCAUCAUCUCUAGGCAAGACUAUCCCAGGAAUAUCCUUCCUGUCACCCCACAUUACCAACUUCCACCCAACCUCUAAAAUCCAGUGGCUACAUUGAAACCAGAAUAACCUUGCCUAAUGGCAAUCAGAUCAUCCUCUGUGUAAACCCCUCAUUGGAUUCCCAGUACCUUGGGAUAAAUACCAAAAUUCUUACCACUUGUGAUGGUUAAUAUUGAGUGUCAAGUAGAUUGGAUUGAAGGAUGCAAAGUAUUGUUCCUGGUUGUGUCUGUGAGGAUGUUACCAAAGGAGAUUAACAUUUGAGUCAGUGGAAGACAAAGAGGCAGACUCACCCUCAAUCUGGGUGGGCACCAUCUAAUCAGCUGCCAGCGCAGCUAGGAUAAAAGCAGGCAGAUGAACGUGGAAGGACCAUGACUGGCUGAGUCUUCCAGCCUGCAUCUUUCUCUCAUGCUGGAUGCUUCCUGCCCUUGAACAUCAGACUCCAAAUUCUUCAGCUUUUUGGACUCUUGGACCUAGAACAGUAGUUUGCCAAGGGCUCUUGGGCCUUCAGCCACAGACUGAAGACUGCACUGUUGACUUCCCUACUUUUGAGGUUCUGGGACUUGGACUGGCUUUCUUGCUUCUCAGCUUGCAGACGACCUAUUGUGGGACUUCACCUUGUGAUUGUGUGAGUCAACAAUAACUCCUUAAUAAACUCCCUUUCAUACAUACAUCUAUUCUAUUACUCUGUACCUCUAGAAAACCCUGACUAAUAGACCAUGGUGUAUAAAAUUCUACAUAGUCUUGCUUCUGCCUAAUUCUCCAAACUCAUAAUAUGAUGUUUGUAUAUUUGAUGAACCAACCUAGCUCCUCUACCCUGACCCUCCUUUCAUCCAGC